rnacentral:tRNA from 1 species
GCGGGUGUAGUUCAGUGGCUAGAACGUCUCGUUGCCAACGAGAAGGUCGGCGGUUCGAAUCCGCUCACCCGCUCCA